rnacentral:tRNA from 1 species
GUGUAUUUAGUAUAUUGGUUAGUACUCCACGUUGUGGCCGUGGCGACGUAGAUUCGAUUCCUGCAAUAGGCA